rnacentral:rRNA from 1 species
GACGAACGCUGGCGGCGUGCUUAACACAUGCAAGUCGAACGGCAAGGCCCUGCUUUUGUGGGGUGCUCGAGUGGCGAACGGGUGAGUAACACGUGAGUAACCUGCCCUUGACUUUGGGAUAACUUCAGGAAACUGGGGCUAAUAUAGGAUAGGAUCUCCUGCUGCAUGGUGGGGGUUGGAAAGUUUCGGCGGUAGGGGAUGGACGCGCGGCUUAUCAGCUUGUUGGUGGGGUAGUGGCUUACCCAGGCUUAGACGGGUAGCCGGCAUGAGAGGGUGGCCGGGGACCAUGCGACUGCGAUACGGACCAGACGCCUACGGGAGGCAGAGGUGGGAAAUAUUACCCAGUGAUCGGACGCGUGUUGCAGCGGCGCUCGGUGCGGGAAGACGGCCUUUGGGUUGUAAACCGCUUUCGCCUGUGACGAAGCGUUAGUGACGGUACUGGGUAAAGAAGCACCGGCUAACUACGUG